UGUAACACAAUAAUAAUAAUAAUGCUUAAACUGUCGAUAGAUGGCAGUGCAGAAAUCUGUGUGCAGAACAGGAAAGUUAGAUGGCGUUGCUGUGCCCUCAUUCUGAGUGAUUGCAAGUAACGAGUGAAAUUUGUGUCAGCAAUUUUUCGUAAUUCUGGUGUGUUUCUAAGGAUUUUUAACUCAGUUAUAACGGUAUGUGAGACUCUGAAUUAGAGUAAUGAACUACUGCUGUUUGUCUCUUUCCUAUCAUGCCAUUUCUCACUGACAAAGUUUACCUCUCUCCAGCCAAACAUUGCACCAAAUGGCAUACUCUUUUCUUGAGUUGCUAAUGAAUUCAAGUCCACAAGAAAUGGCUCCGCAACAGCAAGAUUAACAAUACCAUCAUCAGACUCGACUGUAAUCUUCAUCUACUUUGGAUUGUCAACCAUCUACUACCAGUUUCUUGCAGAUCCAGCAUUGGAAGUUUCUACACUUGGCCAAUCAUCAACAACCAUGAAUCCAGUCUUCACAGCUUCCCUUCUUUGCCAGCCAAGAACCAGAAUCAGUUAGCUUCAGCAUCCUAGCAUGAAAUCGUCAUUUUCAAAUGCCAUCUCAACUGUUUGCAGCCUUUAUCACUCUUCUUAGCCUGACAACAUGCAUACUGUUAUGCCAGCCUUUUUAAAUACUCUUCAUGCCAUCACCUCAUUAUGUUAUCAUGCCGCCGUAUGAGAUUAAAAACAUAAUGCCCACAGCCGAGUGAAAGAGGGCAUCUCAAAAUCUUUGCGGCUCCAAAACAGCUGACGGGGAUGGCAUUCGGCGCAACGUGGAACUUCUCGUCUAUUUUGGUAUUGUUUGUGUGUGUGUGUUUGUGUUUGUGAGUUAACCCGUU
rnacentral:lncRNA from 1 species